rnacentral:rRNA from 1 species
CCUAGGGACGCAGCAGUGGGGGAUAUUGGACAAUGGGGGGAACCCUGAUCCAGCGACGCCGCGUGAGCGAAGAAGUAUUUCGGUAUGUAAAGCUCUAUCAGCAGGGAAGAAAAUGACGGUACCUGACUAAGAAGCCCCGGCUAACUACGUGCCAGCAGCCGCGGUAAUACGUAGGGGGCAAGCGUUAUCCGGAUUUACUGGGUGUAAAGGGAGCGUAGACGGAGGAGCAAGUCUGAUGUGAAAAUCCGGGGCCCAACCCCGGAACUGCAUUGGAAACUGUUUAUCUAGAGUGUCGGAGAGGCAAG